GACGAGACAUAGUGGACCUAGUGCCUGGGGGCGUAAGUACCGACGCAGCAGGUGUAGCCUAUCUGGGCAAAGCUUGCGGAAUAAAGAAAGUCGGCAUAGGAGAGGACAAUCCGGGUCACUUUUCGGGCGUAAACGUUGCUGCUCACGAAAUCGCACACUUACUGUCAUCCCCCCAUGACGGCGAAGGCACCUCAAGUAGUUGCCUGGCAUCAGACGGCUACAUCAUGAAUCCAUCAACCGCAGGAAGAAAUAUUUUUUGUUUCUCCGAUUGCAGCAAGAAAGCCAUUGCUGCCUUUCUGCAGUCUCCUCAGUCUUACUGCUUAAAGGACACCAACCAAAACCGCCAUAUCGUUCUUUUACCCGACGACUCUAAGAAGCUCCCUGGAGAACUGAUGAGUGGCGAGCAGUACUGCAAAUUCUACUUUCCAAAACAUCCACAAGUGACCUAUAUCAAGUGGGACUCGGAUCUCCGGAAAUGCAAGUUUCGCUGCAAAUUGGGUGUAAAAGCAAUGGGACACCAAAUUAUGCCAUUAGAACUGCAAUAGAUGGAACUCCUUGUGACCGGCAUAAACCCAAGAUGAAAUGCAAGAACACCCUCUGUGUGGAACAGUAGGUAAUCAGUGGCAUUACAACACAAACAACUAAUGUGUCCUCUCGCCUAAAAUUAGAAAAGCCCUCAGAUACUCACUACCGUACCCUGGAAUGAUGAGAGGUUGACACAUUGUUUUGAAAUCUGCGCUACCAAGGCGUCAAGUAUUGGAAGACUUAAAUCCCUGGAAGGUAUCUGCUUUAUCCCACAAUUUAUGUGAGAAACUCCGCGUAGAUAAUCCACACAUUUUUGCAAAUAUAAACGUAUGCAUCGUUUAUCACUGCGGCACGUUUUUCAAGGCAUUGUUAUCUGGCAUGGAGCAUUUUAAAGAAAUGUUUUAAACCGUGGCUGCCUCUAAAUUUUCCGCCAUAUACAGCACGGCCCCUAUGUUCUCAUAAAAAGUUCAACAAAAGGUUUUGUUACGCACUCUUAUGAAACUCGCAUUAUUAGCGGCAGAGUAUGUCCGCCUAGACAUACAACGCCUCCGCGGAAACAUCACAAGAAAAUCUG